rnacentral:tRNA from 1 species
GGGACGGUAGCUCAGCCUGGGAGAGCACACGGCUGAAGACCGUGGUGUCGGGGGUUCAAGUCCCCCCCGUCCCA